rnacentral:rRNA from 1 species
UGGGGAAUAUUGCACAAUGGGCGGAAGCCUGAUGCAGCGACGCCGCGUGGGGGAUGACGGCCUUCGGGUUGUAAACUCCUUUCACCAUCGACGAAGGGUUUCUGACGGUAGAUGGAGAAGAAGCACCGGCUAACUACGUGCCAGCAGCCGCGGUAAUACGUAGGGUGCGAGCGUUGUCCGGAAUUACUGGGCGUAAAGAGCUCGUAGGUGGUUUGUCGCGUCGUCUGUGAAAUUCCGGGGCUUAACUCCGGGCGUGCAGGCGAUACGGGCAUAACUUGAGUACUGUAGGGGAGACUGGAAUUCCUGGUGUAGCGGUGAAAUGCGCAGAUAUCAGGAGGAACACCGGUGGCGAAGGCGGGUCUCUGGGCAGUAACUGACGCUGAGGAGCGAAAGCAUGGGGAGCGAACAGGAUUAGAUACCCUGGUA